ensembl:snRNA LOC120101369 U6atac minor spliceosomal RNA
GCAUUGUAUGCAAGGACAGAAAGCUUAACACUCCCCUUAUAAGGACAGAAGGGACCCUGUGCCUAACACCUUCUAACAGGGUUAAAACAUUGCCACCUACUUUGCAACAUUCAACCACUUA